rnacentral:lncRNA from 1 species
GGCUUCUACCGGUAGGUGACAGGGCAGUGUUCCCAGCAGUGGGACAAGAGGCACUGGCACCAGGCCAUGAGCCAUGCAUUCCUAGCUCUGCAGGGCAUGCAUGCCACGCGGACUGUGACAGUGAGCUCUUCCAGGCCCCCAGUGAGCCUGAGAGGGGGUCUGGGAAGAGUCAAGAGACACCCAGACAGUGCCAUGUGGCAGUGAAGCCUCUGGUCCCAAUCUGCCAGGGUGCAAAGCCCCAGGACUGCUGGUGGGAUGUUGGCACUACCCCGUUUUCCUUUUCCAGCUACAACAGAAUGGCAGAGAGGAAAGGACCCUCCGGGAUCUUCCAGUUCAGCCAGCCCAUUUUACAGAGGUGGAGACUGAGGCCAGAGAUGGGGAAACUGAGGCUUCAGGAGGAGAAGGGAUGUGUCCUAGGCAUCCAGGUAGCAAGGCACUCGGAGCGUGCGGAAUCAGAUCUCCAUCCCACUGAGCAUCCUCAGCUCCAAAGGUGGGAUAGGUGAGGAAAUGGCUCAGGAAGGGGAGGUGGGUCGCACCAGGGGCCUAGAACCAAAGAGAAAGGGAGGACACAAGAUGCUGUCAUCACUGUCCCAGCCAGGGGAGUGGGGAGCUGUGCAGGAGAGUCAAACCUCAGCCCCAUUACACCUUUUUAAAAACCAUGGAAGAGUGAUAUAACUUUCUUUUUUUCUUUU